ACGCUAGCGGGAGGCCUAAUACAUGCAAGUCGAACGGCAGCAGCGGAGCUUGCUCCGGCUGGCGAGUGGCGCACGGGUGAGUAACGCGUACGCAACCUGCCCCUAACUGGGGGAAAGUCACGGGAAACUGUGAAUAAUCCCGCAUGUGUUCUGGUUGGCGCAUGCUGGUUGGAAUAAAGCUGAGGCGGUUAGGGAUGGGCGUGCGUCUGAUUAGCUAGUUGGUGGGGUAACGGCCCACCAAGGCGAUGAUCAGUAGGGGGCGUGAGAGCGUGAUCCCCCACACGGGUACUGAGACACGGACCCGACUUCUACGGAAGGCAGCAGUAGGGAAUAUUGGACAAUGGGCGCAAGCCUGAUCCAGCCAUCCCGCGUGCAGGAAGAAGGCCCUCAGGGUUGUAAACUGCUUUUGUCAGGGAAGAAACCCCGUGAUUGAUCAUGGGCUGACGGUACCUGACGAAUAAGCACCGGCUAACUCCGUGCCAGCAGCCGCGGUAAUACGGAGGGUGCGAGCGUUAUCCGGAAUCACUGGGUUUAAAGGGUGCGUAGGCGGCCUGGUAAGUCAGGGGUGAAAGUCUGCCGCUUAACGGUAGAAUUGCCUUUGAUACUGUCAGGCUUGAAUGGGCGCGAGGCAGGCGGAAUGUGGCAUGUAGCGGUGAAAUGCAUAGAUAUGCCAUAGAACACCGAUUGCGAAGGCAGCUUGCCAGAGCUCGAUUGACGCUGAGGCACGAAAGCGUGGGGAGCAAACAGGAUUAGAUACCCUGGUAGUCCACGCCCUAAACGAUGCUUACUCGAUGUUCGGC
rnacentral:rRNA from 1 species